CUUAUCACCUAAACAAUAAAAAGUGCUUGCAUAAAACACUCUUGCAUUUUCAAGAUUGAAUGUUGAAAAAAUCCCACUUGAGUCCUUGAGUCUUAAUGAUACUACUAUAAUAGGGUUUUUUUCCUUUUUUUGGUUUUAAGACAAUUCGAUUCGGUUUCAGUCCGAACCGACGGUUCUUGCACCUGAAACCAAAAUCAAACCGAACCGAGAAGCAUACUCACAUACUCAAACCGAAUUUGGGUUCGGAUCAGUUAAUUCAGCUCAAUAUCGGUUUUGGUAUUCGGUUUUGGUUCCCAAUUGACACCCUUAGUACUCAGCAGAACAUGCUGAUCCAUUCCUUCUUCAUCUACUGGACCAGCCAAUGUCUGUUCAACAACCCAUCAGAUAAGGUCGACCUCCGAUAUGCUUAUUUCUUUAGGGACAUCCGCGGGAUCCAGAAGUAUGACUUGGGUGGAGUUGCCUAUGCCUACUUCCUAACUAUGAUGGACCACCAGGCCUAGGGUGACCCCAAUCUCUAUGGAGCCUCUUACAUCCUCCAGUUUUGGGCACAUGAGCAUCUUCACUUCCUUUGCCCUUCCCUAGUAGGCGGGGAACAUGACAGAUUUCUUAAUACUAGGAAAUGGGGCAGGGGUGAGACUGUUCGAGGGCCUUUGCCCCUAGCCACAACAGGGAGGGAGGUAUUGAUCCAGCUCACAGAGGUGUCCUGGACUCUCUUCCAAACUGUGGACUUCCCUGUGGUUGAGGAACAGAUAAGGCUAGGAGGCUCACUGGUCUCCGCGUCCUAUUCCGAGGUCCAAAGGGUCCAACAUAGUACCUUGGGGAGAGGGUGGUUGUUGGGGAAUAUGCCCACACUCCUUAAUGAGUUUUGGUGUUAACAAACAAACAUGCGUCUUUAACUCGAUUUGAUAAAGUGUGAUUAGCUUAAAGAAAGUAAAAUUAGUUUGAAAACACACUUAGAAGAGUCGAAUCAAGACAUCAAGGAAGAACUCAUAAAGACAUGACCUUGAAGCCUAAAGACAUUCAAAACUAAGGAUGAAGAUCUCAAGACCAAGGAUGAAGAUCUCAAGACCCAAGAUGAAGACAGUAGGAUAGAUAGUACAAUUUGUAAUUUAUACCCACAUUGCAUACGCACGCACCUCAUGCAUCAUAAUAGAAUGACCUUGGGUGGUAGAGUGCAAAAUGUUCUAGUAAAAUUAUGUGAAAAUAGAUUAACCUGA